UACAGAGGGUGCAAGCGUUGUUCGGAAUCAUUGGGCGUAAAGGGCGUGUAGGCGGUUUGUUAAGUCAUGUGCGAAAUCCCCCGGGCUCAAUCCCGGGAACUGCGUCCGAUACUGGAAGGCUUGAAUCCGGGAGAGGGAUGCGGAAUUCCAGGUGUAGCGGUGAAAUGCGUAGAUAUCUGGAGGAACACCGGUGGCGAAGGCGGCAUCCUGGACCGGCAUUGACGCUGAGGCGCGAAAGCCAGGGGGAGCAAACGGG
rnacentral:rRNA from 1 species